UUNCCUUAGUAACGGCGAGUGAAGCGGCAACAGCUCAAAUUUGAAAUCCGGCCCUUGGGUCCGAAUUGUAAUUUGUAGAGGAUGAUUUUGGUGCGGUAUCUUCCGAGUUCCUUGGAACAGGACGCCUUANAGGGUGAGAGCCCCGUACGGUUGAAUGCCUAGCCUCUGUAAAUCUCCUUCGACGAGUCGAGUAGUUUGGGAAUGCUGCUCUAAAUGGGAGGUAAAUUUCUUCUAAAGCUAAAUAUUGGCCAGAGACCGAUAGCGCACAAGUAGAGUGAUCGAAAGAUGAAAAGCACUUUGAAAAGAGGGUUAAAUANCACGUGAAAUUGUUGAAAGGGAAGGAUUUGUGACCAGACUUUUUCUGGGCGGAUCAUCCGGGGUUCUCUCCGGUGCACUUCGCCCAGUAAAGGCCAGCAUCGGUUUUCGGCGUGGGAUAAAAGCAGUAGGAAUGUGGCUCUCUACGGGGAGUGUUAUAGCCUAUUGUAUAAUACCGCGCUGGGGACCGAGGUUCGCGCUUCUGCAAGGAUGCUGGCGUAAUGGUUAUCAAUCACCCG
rnacentral:rRNA from 1 species